rnacentral:lncRNA from 1 species
GGCUUCUUGAUCCUAUGUGUUGUAUUGAGUGUUGGUCACUGGUCUUUGGGAAGCUUGGACAGAAGUGGGGCAGCCAUGGAGCUGCUGACUGGGACUGGCCUGUGGCCCGUGGUCAUAGUCACAGUCAUCUUCAUAUUACUGGUGGACAUGUUGCACCGGUGCCAGCGCUGGACUUCUUGCUGCCCACCAGACCCUGUGCCAUGGCCUGUGCUGGGUAACCUGCUGCAGGUGGACCUGGAUAACAUGCCAUAUAACUUGUACAAGCUUCACAACCGCUAUGGUGACGUGUUCAGCCUGCAGAUGGGCUGGAACCACAUGGCCGUGAUCAACGGACUGAAGGUGUGGUCCUUGCUCCUUAUGGGCCUGAGUGGAAAGAGCAGAGGUGAUUCUCUGCGUCGACCCUGUGCAACUUCAGCCUGGGCAAGAAAUCACUGGAGCAGUGGGUGAUGGAAGAGGUUGGACACCUCUUUGAUGUCUUCACUGCCCAUGCUGAGGAGGCUGUAGACAAGAGAUUUGGAAAGAACACAUCUAGAAGUGUCCACCACAGUAAUAGGAGCCUGGAGAUUGACAUACAGCAAAAGGAAGUGAGAAGCUGACCAAGGUCAGGGCUUCUAGAAGCUGAGACCCUGGCCCUCUGCCCACAUGGAACAUCUGUGAGAUUUUCCAGGGUUGGCUGACAAAGUCUUCCCUGGGCAAAAGACAUUUCUCAUAAUGGUGGAUAAGCUGGUGACUGAGCACAAGAGGACCUGGAACUCGGACCAGCCGCCUCGAGACCUGACUGAUGCCUUUAUGGCUGAGAUGGAGAAGGCAAAGGGAAACCCUGAGAGUAGCUUCAAUGAUGCAAAUCUAUGUCUGGUUGUCCUUGACCUGCUGGGUGCUGCAACUGUGACCACCUCAACCACACUGUCCUGGGCCCUGCUGCUUAUGAUCCUGCAUCCGGAUGUGCAGUGUGAGCCUGGCUGGGGCUGUCAAGAAAGGAGGAGGAGGGUAGAGGCAAACUCCUUAAACUUACUUGGGACACUUGUAGAUCCCAGCAUUGAGUUAACCCAGACUGCAGCCAAGUACAACAGGAAAUCGAUGAGGUCAUUUGGUAUGUGUGGCUUCCAGAGAUGGCAGACCAGGUCUGCAUGCCCUUCACCAAUGCUGUCAUUCAUGAGGGCAUGACUCUCAUCUCCAACCUGUUCCGUGCUGAAGGAUGAGACUGUCUGGGAGAAGCCCCUUCGCUUCCAUCCUGAACACUUCCUGGAUGCCCAGGGCCACUUUGUGAAGCCUGAGGCCUUCAUGCCAUUCUCAGCAGGUGCCUCUAGGGUGCCUUCCUGCCUAUCUUUCCCUAGGGUGCCUUGGAGGGUGGAGCACCAAUCAGGUCCCAGACUGAGCCCUCUUCUACACAUAGGCCACAGAUCAUGCCUGGGGGAGCCCCUGGCCCUCAUGGAGCUCUUCCUCUUCUUCACCUGCCUCCUGCAGCGCUUUAGCUUCUCAAUGCCAGCUGGACAAUCCCUUCCCAGUGAUUAUGGCAUCUAUACAAUGCCAGUUACUCCAGCACCUACCAGCUCUGUGCAGUGGUUUGCUAGCAGGGGCAGUGGCUCCAGCCAUCAUCACAGAUUGUUCUGACUGAUGUCCAAUAAACAAGUUUUGUGUCUGAAUCUCA